rnacentral:rRNA from 1 species
AUGAACGCUGACAGAAUGCUUCACACAUGCAAGUCUUUGGCGAAGCUGUGCUUGCACAGCCUAGCCAAGGCGGACGGGUGAGUAACGCGUAAGGAACUUGCCCUGCAGUCAGGGAUAACAGACGGAAACGACUGAUGAGACCUGGUAAAGUCAGGCGGACUCAUGUCCAGCCUGAUGAAAAGAGAUGCUGCAGGAGAGCCUUGCGUCCUAUUAGCUUGUUGGUGGGGUAACGGCCCACCAAGGCGAUGAUAGGUAGCCGGCCUGAGAGGGUGGACGGCCACAAGGGGACUGAGAUACGGCCCUUACUCCUACGGGAGGCAGCAGUGGGGAAUAUUGGACAAUGGGGGCAACCCUGAUCCAGCAAUUCUGUGUGCACGAUGAAGGUUUUCGGAUUGUAAAGUGCUUUCAGCAGGGAGGAAAAAAAUGACGGUACCUGCAGAAGAAGCGACGGCUAAAUACGUG